rnacentral:pre_miRNA from 1 species
UGCUGCUGAUUCUGAUGAUGAUGGCGGUGAUGAUGAUUGUGAUUAUCAUCAUCACCAUCAUCAUCAUCAUCAUCAUCAUCAUCAAUA